CUUGACCGAGCCGAGCCACAGCGGGCGGUCCGCCGGCCGGUCCUGGCCGUAGGUGGCGAGGAGGGCCUGGGCUUC
rnacentral:antisense_RNA from 1 species